GCCUGCUCUCCCAGAGCCAGGAAUGGAUUUAUUAAAAAAAAAAAAAAAAAAGGUUUGAAAAAAUUCAAAGUCAACCACGCACGAUGGGUGAAAUAAUUGCUUCUUUAAAAGCUAUAUGCUGCCGCAAUUAUGUAUAUAAAUACAGAUUAGGGCACAGAGUAGAAAUAAAAAUACAGUUUCAAAUCUCAUAUAUGGGGAUUCACUUCCACCGCAUAUUCUACAGUACCCCAAAUAUUGAUGUAUCCUACACUAAUUCCAGUGGUAGAUAAUGCUAAUGCUGAAAGAGGCUAAUUUAAAUAAUAUGUUGUAAGAGCAUUGUAAAUAUAAUAAUGCAAAAUUAAUGUGAUGUUGCAAAGCCUGUAAUAUUCU